UACAGAGGUGGCAAGCGUUGUUCGGAAUUACUGGGCGUAAAGGGCGAGUAGGUGGCCAUCUAAGUCAGACGUGAAAUCCCUCGGCUUAACCGGGGAACUGCGUCUGAUACUGGAUGGCUUGAGUUCGGGAGAGGGAUGCGGAAUUCCAGGUGUAGCGGUGAAAUGCGUAGAUAUCUGGAGGAACACCGGUGGCGAAGGCGGCAUCCUGGACCAAUUCUGACGCUGAGGAGCGAAAGCCAGGGGAGCAAACGGG
rnacentral:rRNA from 1 species